UAACGCGUUAAGCGAGCCGCCUGGGGAGUACGAACGCAAGUUUAAAACUCAAAGGAAUUGGCGGGGACCCGCACAACCAGUGGAGCAUGUGGUUCAAUUCGAGACGAACCGAAGAACCUUACCUGGACUUGACAUUCUAUCGUUUUAGUUUUGUAGAAAUAUGAGACGAUCCUAAUAGAAAUAUUAGGAAGAUAGAACAGGUGCUGCAUGGCUAUCGUCAGCUCGUGCCGUAGGGUGUUCCCUUCAGUGGGGUAACGAGCGCAACCCCUGUCGCAUGUUAAAUAUUCAUGCGAGACUAUCUCGAUUUUUCGAGGAGGAAGUGGGGACGACGUUAAGUCAGCAUGGCCCUUAUGUCCAGGGCGACACACAUGCUACAAUGGCCGCUACAAUGGGUUGCCAAACCGUAAGGUGGAGCUAAUCCCAUCAAAAGCGGUCUCAGUGGGGAUUGAGGGCUGCAACUCGCCCUCAUGAACGCGGAAUUGGUAGUAAUCGCGAAUCAGCUAUGUCGCGGUGAAUACGUUCUCGGGUCUUGCACAAAUUAAAUUGCGCCUUCCGGCCAUAAUUUUUACCAGGUGGAAAUCCUGGGAAGAACAGAUAAAUUUCUUCAAGCGAAAUGACAUCCUUUGACUGUGAAGUUGAAGUGAGAAGGGUCAAAGUAGCAGUUUUUAGUUUGAAGUCGAUACGGACUUGUUAGAUGACGAUCCUAGCGUGCACAUGGAGAAGUCAUUUGUCAAUUUAUCUAACAGGUUAAGUGGGCUCGAAAUGGAGACAAAAUAAAUUAUGGUUACGAAGGGAGAUCUGAUAUUGACUUUCGGUAAUACUUCGGUAUUAUGAAAGUAGGAAUAAAUGUGAAUUUAUUCUGAUUAAAUAUCAGAAGUCUGCUGAAUUCAUAGUAGUCUCGCUCAGCGGGAUGAAGGGAUUCUACAAUUUCUAGUAUGCGUAAUAAUGCUUAAUUCUAAUUAUGUUUCUGGUUUAGUAGAUGGAGAAGGAUGUUUUUGUAUUACCAUUUCUCGUCAUAAGACAAAAAGGUUUGGAGUUGAUCCAAGGCUUGAGUUUGAGAUAGAGAUGAUAAUUGAAGACAAACUGCUUCUUGAAAAACUUCAGGAAACAUUAGGCUGUGGUCGGGUAUUUGUUCUCUCUUAUGAGAGAUACGGAUGGAGACCACAUGCUAAAUUUGCUGUUAAAAGUCAGAAGGAAAUAUUUGAAAAAAUAGUUCCUUUCUUUAUAGAAAACCCUUUACAUAGCAAGAAGAAGAAAGAUUUUGAAUUUUUUCUUCAAGCUGUAGAGAUAUUUAAAGCGAAAAGACAUUUAAUGCCAGAUGGAAUUAGAGAAUUAAGGGAGAUUCAGUCGAAAAUGAAUCUUAGACGCAGACUGAAAUGGUCGUCCGCCAGGGUACGGGAAAACCGUGUGCCCAGUGGGGAUAGAAACCUUAAUUUGGUGACAGGUUAAGUGAUUUCAGAACACCGCCCGUCAAGUCAGAGGAGUUGGAGAUACCCGAAGGCCGCAGCUGCGGCCGAAGGUAGAGCCAGCAACUAGGAUUAAGUCGUAACAAGGUAUCCGUUCUGGAAGGAGCGGAUGGAUCACCUCCUUUCUAAGGAG
rnacentral:rRNA from 1 species